AUUGAACGCUGGCGGCAGGCUUAACACAUGCAAGUCGAGCGGAGCGAGGGUGCUUGCACCUUAGCUUAGCGGCGGACGGGUGAGUAAUGCUUAGGAAUCUGCCUAUUAGUGGGGGACAACAUUCCGAAAGGAAUGCUAAUACCGCAUACGCCCUACGGGGGAAAGCAGGGGAUCUUCGGACCUUGCGCUAAUAGAUGAGCCUAAGUCGGAUUAGCUAGUUGGUGGGGUAAAGGCCUACCAAGGCGACGAUCUGUAGCGGGUCUGAGGGGAUGAUCCGCCAAACUGGGACUGAGACACGGCCCAGACUCCUACGGGAGGCAGCAGUGGGGAAUAUUGGACAAUGGGCGGAAGCCUGAUCCAGCCAUGCCGCGUGUGUGAAGAAGGCCUUUUGGUUGUAAAGCACUUUAAGCGAGGAGGAGGCUACUUAGAUUAAUACUCUGGGAUAGUGGACGUUACUCGCAGAAUAAGCACCGGCUAACUCUGUGCCAGCAGCCGCAGUAA
rnacentral:rRNA from 1 species